GAGUCAUAGGCAUCAGGGAAGGCUUUUCGUAGGAGUAGAUGUCUAUACCAAACCCUGAAGAAUGAAUAGAAAUAAGCUGUUAGAGAAGUUGGCGGAAAGUAGGGAGAUAAAGAGAAUAAGAAUAUUUACCAGGAAAACAAAAUAGAGAGCACCAAACCCCAGAGGAAAGAGACAGCAUGGAGUGUGGCUGGAGCAGAAAAUGAAGAUCAUUCUGGUGUGGAAAUUGGUUUGGUUGGGGAUCAAGCCUGGAGCACUGGAAACAAAUUAGGAUACUAAAUCAGUUCUCAGAAUCGAAGUUGAAUGUCCUAACAAUAGGAAGAGAUUGAUUGGAGGCAGAUUAAGGAGAUGGAACCCGUAAAAGACAUAGUACUUCCAGGUAAACAUUAAACAAUGGUAUGGAUAUCAGAAAAUGACACUACUGUAGAAACAAGCAGCCAAGCAUAAUAUUGGUGAAGACAGGCUUUAUUGUUGGACAAACUGGCUUUGGAAUAAUAUGACGGAUCACACUUGCUUGUCACGUAAUCUUGGGAUAAAAUUAUGUAAAUUAUUUGAUCUUCAGUUUCCUCAUCCAUAAAAUGGGAAUAAUAACAUGAACUGUUCAUAGUUGCAUUCAUAGUGGAAUUUA